GGGCGAAUGGUUUAGUGGUAUAAUACUCCCUUAGCAUUGUGUGCACAAUCUUGGGAGUGGUCCAGGGUUCGAUUCCCUGUUCGUCCA